ensembl:lncRNA
GUCUUUCCUAAUUUUUCAGCACAUAACUGGACAACAUACAAUUAAAUGAUUUUACCAUUACAUUGAACUCUGAGUUUCUGUCAACUCUUAUAUCAUGUGUAUAUCAUGUUCUAUUUAAGUUUCUGUUCAUUUUAGACAGCAGCGUGUGAACGGGACUUUUAUUUUGGUGUGGUGGCGUGACGUCAUAAGGCUGCGGCGCGCUCUCGCGUCUGUUAUGACUCGACUGAAGAAAGGUUUGUGUUUAAAGCUUUUAAAGUGCAGAAACCGUUCAGUCAACGCUAAAGUUGUAUAAACUCGGUAGAAUUUAAUGUUUAUUGUUGACUGUAAGUUAAUGAACUGCAGCUUUAUCUAAAAUGUGUGUAUUUCUAAAGAUUAUCUUUGUGAGUAAAUCUACACUCGAUCUAGUUUCACUCCGUAUCGUGCUUCAGUUUGUCGUAAACACGAAUUGAGUCGCUGGCUUUUAAACGCGAGUCAGUUUAAUCAGCGCAUUCUGCUCAAAACCGUCUAAUUCAACACAAGCGUAACGAAAGAGGAAAUAUUUUCAUAAAAGUGCAGUGAAAGUCAUCAGAUACCAAACAGAAGUCAUUCAUGUUACCUUUCAUUAGAACUUCAUUCAUUCAUUACGUACUAGUUUUGAGUGUUUUUGUCUAAGUUAGCUCAUUUAGGAGUGUGUACACUUGCAACAUAUUGCUAUUUUAAUUUGGAUUAUUUUAUUUAUAAUUAUUAUUUUAUUAUUAUAUUUAAUAUAAAUAUUUUGACAGUUCUGCAGCUGUUACCUAAUUCAUUUGCUUAAAUAAGGACUACAUUAUUAUGUAAUUAUUUGUCCCAUUUUUAUCCAAACACCCAGAAAAACUCCUGCUGAAGCGACUGAGAUCCACCUGACACACUGUGAUAAAGAUGGCGUUUAUUAAAGAGGAGAGUGAAGACAUUAAGAUUAAAGACGUAUUCAGCAUGAAAGAAGAAGAUACUGAGACACGAAUGAAGAUGGCGUUUAUUACAGAGGAGAGUGAAGACAUGAGGACUGAAGAAACAUUCAGCACGAAACGAGAAGAUACGCAGACACAAACAAACCUGGUGUUUAUUAAAGACGAGAGUGAAAACAUUAGGAUCGAAGACGUGUUCAGCAUCACAUGUGAAGAUAUAGAGACACAAACGUCUAUUCGAGAGAAGAAUAAAGGCAUGAAGACACAAACGUCUAUUAGAGAGAAGAGAGAAGACACGAAGAAGAAGAAACCAUUCAGAGUCAAGCAUGAAGAUGCUGAGACACAAACAGUCAGUCUUCUGUCUCAGUCAUCACCCAGCCUUCAGUGUACCAGUCAGCAUCUCCAACAUACAAAAGACUGUUAACUCCUAAGCUAAGUUACCACAAACUACACUAAAAUUUAUAAUCACCUAUUUGCAUUGCUGUCUCCAAUCUAACUUUGAAUAAAGUCUUUACUUUUGAUGUUAUUUCUGUCUCU